AUAAGCACUGCAGCUGCAUAAGGAAUGUGGGGCUCUAAAGGAUAUGCUUUGUGUAAAGCAGUGUUAUCUUCCCCCCUUCCUUUCCCAGCUACAUAAAUGAGCUCGGGGUCAUGGCCCCUUCCUCCCUUCCCUGUGAGCUGCUGAUCAAGAGAAUUUGUGCCUGCAAUUACUGCAAAGAAACAGAUCUUCAAGAAAGAAAAAUCUACAAUGGCAGCAGGCCGUAAAAGAGAGACCCAGUUUGACAACAUUUAAAUGUAGUUCCUCUACCCUUGGGUAAGGCAGGCAUGCGUGCAAAAUGCAAACAGUGCAACAAAGAAAUGCAAGGCCUGGUUGCCUGAAUAAAACAACAUCAUGAGAACUGUUCCUUCUCAGAAGGAAGCUGUGUUUAAGAUGAUGAAAGGAACAUGUCUGAACAUUCAGGAUCUUCAGGAGAAUCCAUCCUCAACACACAGGAUUCUGAAGACUAUCCACCUUCAAGAUCACCAUCAUUUUCUAUAGUUUCAGAGUUAUCUGCCCAUGAUAGUGUUUCAGUCACAUCAUGUAUGUCACAUAGCCACAGUAUAUCACCUGUAGCAAAAAGAAAAAAAAACCUCCAUCAUCCGGAAACAACCACAGAUAAGUUUAUGAUAAGAACGAGCAGAUUAAAAAAAGAGGUAAUCGAUGAAAAAACUGCCUGGUUUGUUUAUGAAACAAACUCUCCUUUCUUUCUGACUGAGAACCCACACUUCAUUAACUUGGUUCAGUCAUUAAGACCAGGAUAUAGUCCACCCAACAGAGCAGAUAUUGCAGGCAAAUUGCUGGAUAAAAUGUAUGAAAGAGAAGUUGAGCAGUGUGCAAAAGGUAUAGAGGGUAAAAUUGUUAACCUGAGUCUUGAUGGGUGGAGCAAUGAUCCUGUCGUAUGUGCUUGUGUGACAACAGAAGAAGGGAAUGCCUUCCUUACAGAAACAAUUGAUAUAUCAGGAAAUGCACACACAGCAAAACAGAAUGUCUAGUACGCAGCUUGGUCACAGACAAUGCUGCAAAUGUAUCCAAAAUGAGAAGAAGUUAUUUAGAAGAGAGUCCCAAACGAAUAACAUACAGUUGCAGUGUUCAUUUGACGCGCCUCCUAGCCAAAGACAUCAGUGUUCCAGAAAUAAAGGCUAACGUUGUUGAAAUUGCAAAAUACUCCCGUAACAAUCACUUUGCAGCAGCUGCUCUGAAAAAAGUGGGAGGAACCAAACUAACUCUCCCAUAAGACGUGUGAUGGAACUCAGUAGUGGUCUGUUUUGAGCACUAUAUCAAGAACUGGCCUACCCUGAUGACAGUUUGUGAACAAAAUCAUGAAAAAAUAGAUGGCACUGUCAUAGCCAAAGUCCUCAACAUUGGGCUUAAGAGAAAUGUUGAACACAUGCUGAGUACCGUGAAGCCUAUUUCGUAGCCCUGAACAAAGCGCAGGGAAAUAGCUGUUUUAUUACUGACUCUGUUGAAAUUUGGAAAGAACUGAGUGAGAUCCUAAAAAGAGAAAUAUGCAAUGACAGAGUUAAAUUACAAACAUUAAAAAAAUGAAUGGGACAAGCACUAUCUCCAGCUCAUGUUCUUGUAAAUAUUCUCAAUAUUCGGUGCCAGGGUCAAACCUUAAAUGCUGAAGAGGAGGAGUUGGCUAUGACAUGGACAUCCAGCGAUCAUCCCUCCAUAAUGUGAACUAUAAUGAACUUCAGGAUGAACCAUAAGGGUGAACCAUUCAAGAAAUCCAGAAUACAUAACAUUGUUGUUUUAGUUAAACAAAACAAUUUAAAUGUCUGUCUGAUGAUGUUCUCCUCCUAAUACAGCGUGGCAAGGAAAUCCUCCAAAUAUUAAUGAUUAACCUGUUGAAUUGGAGAUAGUUCACCUCCUAAUGACUUCACAACUACCUGCUUCAAUUACCUUUUGUAAAUGAAAUAAUCAAACAAUCAUUCAUUUUCUGAUAUAGCUGUAAAACUAAUCUGAAAAGUUUUCAAAAUAAAUCACUUUAAAAACGUAUAGUGUAACCUUCUAAAAAUGAAACUACAACUUGGAGAGAGAUGUAGAAGCAUAUGUAUUAAGGUUAUAACAACCAACAAGAAUAAAUGCACUUUUAUGUAGAAAUCCAUGAUUAAAUUGAAUCUUCCUGA